GGUCACUUUUACCAUGGUAAUCUUUUGUAGAUGACAGGAGCAUGUGGCCCCCUCAUUCACAAGAGGUAAAUCCAGUCUUUCAAAUGAGGUGUCUUAUGCCUCUCCAGUAAAAAGGGGGAAUGAUGGACAGUGCAGUAAGUGCUCAUCUUUUGCAACAGAGAUCUCUUACAAUCUAAGGGGAUGUGAGAACCCCAUUAGAAAAGGCAUAUUGUAUAAAGCAACCUAAAUGGACCAGUGACUUCUAAUUUGAAAGAGUAGAAUCUGUCUUUUUAAACAAG